AUCAGAAGUAUAUAUCUCUUUAUUGCUAAACUGCAACAGCUGUGUUUGCAGAUCGUUGAAGACGCUGUGAGGGAAUAUGAGUUGCACAGCGCUGACAUGGAAAUGUCCGAAGAGUGUGUUCAAAUAGGUAAUGUUCCUUAGCUUCGUGGAGUUCCAGGGAACCCAGCAUUUUUCAUGCAUUUCGUUUUUCACACUCUAUUUUUCAUAUGUGGCCCGUGGCUGAGUCGUUUAGCUAAAAACGCACGAACAAAGCGAACGUACACUAUUUACGUGUAGUCCGUGUUUCACAGCAGUUGCUCGAUAUUAUGCAGUUUCCAAUAUGUUUCUGCAUGCUCCUACAGAAGCUAUCCAGCCACAGGCACUUCACAUCUCAGUUUCUAGAGAUAGUGAGACAGCUUUGCCAUCCUGCUCUGUGACAAUGCCUGUUGACCUGAGCUGGCAAGAACAGUUUACGGAGAUGCCUCAGUCCCCACACGCACCAUCUCCUAUACGCAGAUGCGACAAAGAAACUCAGACAGACUCCAAGAAGAGAAGCACAGGUGUUCAGACUGAGAUGCGCACACAUCACAAGGGUACGCAGACAUGGCAUAUUCCAUCUGAACCUGUACCCCGUUCUUCAACUCCAGCACCAACAAAUGAAUCACAAGUGUGGAGUGAA